AUUGAACGCUGGCGGCAGGCCUAACACAUGCAAGUCGAGCGAGCGGCGGACGGGUGAGUAAUGUCUGGGAAACUGCCUGAUGGAGGGGGAUAACUACUGGAAACGGUAGCUAAUACCGCAUACCAUCAGAUGUGCCCAGAUGGGAUUAGCUGGUAGGUGGGGUAACGGCUCACCUAGGCGCCGAUCCCUAGCUGGUCUGAGAGGAUGACCAGCCACACUGGAACUGAGACCCGUUCCAUACUCCUACGGGAGGCAGCAGUGGGGAAUAUUGCACAAUGGGCGCAAGCCUGAUGCAGCCAUGCCGCGUGUGUGAAGAAGGCCUUCGGGUUGUAAAGCACUUUCAGCGGGGAGGCGUUACCCGCAGAAGAAGCACCGGCUAACUCCGUGCCAGCCGCCGCGGUAAUUC
rnacentral:rRNA from 1 species